rnacentral:rRNA from 1 species
GCUUAGCCCUUAACAAAAAUAGUACAUAAACCACACUAUUCGCCAGAGAACUACAAGUGAAAAACUUAAAACUCCAAGGACUUGGCGGUGCUCCAUAUCGCCCUAGAGGAGCCUGUCCUAUAAUCGAUACCCCACGUUAAACCUUACCAUUUUUUGAAACCUCAGCCUAUAUACCGCCGUCGUCAGCCUACCUUGUGAAAGGGGAAAAAGUAGGCGAAAUAGCCAGCACUAACACGUCAGGUCAAGGUGUAGCACAUAAAAUGGCAGAGAUGGGCUACAUUUUCUGAAACAGAAAAUACGAACAGCACACUGAAACCCGUGCUUGAAGGCGGAUUUAGCUGUAAAACAAACAAGCUUGUUUGUUUUAACCCCGCUCUGGAGCGCGC